UACGGAGGGUGCAAACGUUGCUCGGAAUCAUUGGGCGUAAAGCGCACGUAGGCGGUCUCCUAAGUCGAGUGUGAAAGCCCUCGGCUCAACUGAGGAAGUGCAUUCGAAACUGGGAGACUUGAGUACCGGAGAGGAUGGCGGAAUUCCCGGUGUAGAGGUGAAAUUCGUAGAUAUCGGGAGGAACACCAGCGGCGAAGGCGGCCAUCUGGACGGAUACUGACGCUGAGGUGCGAAAGCGUGGGGAGCAAACAGG
rnacentral:rRNA from 1 species